ensembl:snoRNA SNORD22 Small nucleolar RNA SNORD22
UCCCAAUGAGGAAACAUUCACACAUCUUACUUCCUGUCCUAGUCCCAGAGCCUGUAAAGGCGAACCCUUCUGAGUUCCAGAAGGAGCUGUCUGAGGGUC